AUUGAACGCUGGCGGCAGGCUUAACACAUGCAAGUCGAGCGGAGAUGAGGUGCUUGCACCUUAUCUUAGCGGCGGACGGGUGAGUAAUGCUUAGGAAUCUGCCUAUUAGUGGGGGACAACAUUCCGAAAGGAAUGCUAAUACCGCAUACGCCCUACGGGGGAAAGCAGGGGAUCUUCGGACCUUGCGCUAAUAGAUGAGCCUAAGUCGGAUUAGCUAGUUGGUGGGGUAAAGGCCUACCAAGGCGACGAUCUGUAGCGGGUCUGAGAGGAUGAUCCGCCACACUGGGACUGAGACACGGCCCAGACUCCUACGGGAGGCAGCAGUGGGGAAUAUCGGACAAUGGGCGGAAGCCUGAUCCAGCCAUGCCGCGUGUGUGAAGAAGGCCUUUUGGUUGUAAAGCACUUUAAGCGAGGAGGAGGCUACCUGGAUUAAUACUCUAGGAUAGUGGACGUUACUCGCAGAAUAAGCACCAGCUAACUCUGUGCCAGCAGCCGCAGUAAGAC
rnacentral:rRNA from 1 species